rnacentral:tRNA from 1 species
GGAAUUAUGGCUCAGUGGUAGAGUGCUUGCCUAGCAUGCCAGAGGCACUGGGUUCAAUCCCCAGCACCA